rnacentral:lncRNA from 1 species
UAUCCUUGCGCGAAACCUUGCUUACCUCCUGCUGAUCUCGCUGACUGGUCGAGCGAAGAUGUUGCGCAGUGGCGGCCCGCGGGAUGUUGCGACGUAGCGGCUCCGUGGGACUUAUGCUUCCCUGUGUAAUAAUUAGCUUACGAAAAACGAGAUAAGAAAAAGGAAAAGGUGCAGCAACAAACGCGAAGCGAACAGGCAAGGACUAAGCAAUAAAAAAGCCUAGCGACUACUAAAGAGUACUAAACCCGCCCCACCUAAGCUGGUGUCGCUGUAAAGUUGCGUUGUAUUGAGCUGCAAAACAAAGAGUAGCUGCGUAAAAACAGCUGGAAUAAUUGGUAACGCU